UACGAAGGGGGGCUAGCGUUGCUCGGAAUCACUGGGCGUAAAGCGCACGUAGGCGGCUUUCUAAGUCAGGGGUGAAAUCCUGGAGCUCAACUCCAGAACUGCCUUUGAUACUGGAGAGCUUGAGUCCGGGGAGAGGUGAGUGGAACUCCGAGUGUAGAGGUGAAAAUUCGUAGAUAUUCGGAAGAACACCAGUGGCGAAGGCGGCUCACUGGCCCCGGUACUGACGCUGAGAAGCGAAAGCAUGGGGAGCGAACAGG
rnacentral:rRNA from 1 species